AUAUAUUUGUAGGAAUUUAUUUAAUUUAAUAUUUUUAUGGGAAUUAAAGUUGGCAACGCUAUUGUCAAGCAGCUGGAUGAUCUCAGUUGCCAAUGUUGUUCCAUUAUGGUGUGUUUCAAUAUUUCUUUUGUUGUUUCAUCUGUACCUAAUUUCAUUAUUAGAGAUGUGCUAGUCCAACUAUAUGUGCUUCGAUAUAUCUGGAGAUUCUCUUGGUAUCAGGGGUGAAACCUGAUGACAUAUGUUCCCAAGUUGGUUUAUGUUCCGCCAAAAGGAUUCAAUCUAAGAGGUCAGAAAUGUCUAUGGCUCUUUUAUAUAGAUGUCUCUACUUUCUGCU